GGUCUGUGAUGUACUGUAAAAGGUCUGAUGCUUAAGUUUCCCCCAGCUUCCCUUCAUCUCCCAGAGGCCCCUGCUCUGUUCCCAGCAUGCUCUAGGUGUGUUAUGUUGGGUGCGGGGGUCUCUGACAGAUAGGAUGACCUCUCAACCUGUGUAUCUUGAAGAAAGAGGUCACAGUGAUGACGUACAUCCAACACUUUCAUUUUCCAAGGAGUUAUCGGGCUGUGGGGCAGGGACAAGCGCAUGAUCUCAAGUUUUCAAGCUGAGACC